rnacentral:rRNA from 1 species
GGCGAGCGAAACGGGAAGAGCCCAAACCAACAAGCUUGCUUGUUGGGGUUGUAGGACACUCUAUACGGAGUUACAAAGGACGACAUUAGACGAAUCAUCUGGAAAGAUGAAUCAAAGAAGGUAAUAAUCCUGUAGUCGAAAAUGUUGUCUCUCUUGAGUGGAUCCUGAGUACGACGGAGCACGUGAAAUUCCGUCGGAAUCUGGGAGGACCAUCUCCUAAGGCUAAAUACUCUCUAGUGACCGAUAGUGAACCAGUACCGUGAGGGAAAGGUGAAAAGCACCCCGGAAGGGGAGUGAAAUAGAACCUGAAACCGUGUGCUUACAAGUAGUCAGAGCCCGUUAAUGGGUGAUGGCGUGCCUUUUGUAGAAUGAACCGGCGAGUUACGAUUUGAUGCAAGGUUAAGCAGUAAAUGUGGAGCCGUAGCGAAAGCGAGUCUGAAUAGGGCGUUUAGUAUUUGGUCGUAGACCCGAAACCAGGUGAUCUACCCUUGGUCAGGUUGAAGUUCAGGUAACACUGAAUGGAGGACCGAACCGACUUACGUUGAAAAGUGAGCGGAUGAACUGAGGGUAGCGGAGAAAUUCCAAUCGAACCUGGAGAUAGCUGGUUCUCUCCGAAAUAGCUUUAGGGCUAGCCUCAAGUGAUGAUUAUUGGAGGUAGAGCACUGUUUGGACGAGGGGCCCCUCUCGGGUUACCGAAUUCAGACAAACUCCGAAUGCCAAUUAAUUUAACUUGGGAGUCAGAACAUGGGUGAUAAGGUCCGUGUUCGAAAGGGAAACAGCCCAGACCACCAGCUAAGGUCCCAAAAUAUAUGUUAAGUGGAAAAGGAUGUGGCGUUGCCCAGACAACUAGGAUGUUGGCUUAGAAGCAGCCAUCAUUUAAAGAGUGCGUAAUAGCUCACUAGUCGAGUGACACUGCGCCGAAAAUGUACCGGGGCUAAACAUAUUACCGAAGCUGUGGAUUGUCCUUUGGACAAUGGUAGGAGAGCGUUCUAAGGGCGUUGAAGCAUGAUCGUAAGGACAUGUGGAGCGCUUAGAAGUGAGAAUGCCGGUGUGAGUAGCGAAAGACGGGUGAGAAUCCCGUCCACCGAUUGACUAAGGUUUCCAGAGGAAGGCUCGUCCGCUCUGGGUUAGUCGGGUCCUAAGCUGAGGCCGACAGGCGUAGGCGAUGGAUAACAGGUUGAUAUUCCUGUACCACCUAUAAUCGUUUUAAUCGAUGGGGGGACGCAGUAGGAUAGGCGAAGCGUGCGAUUGGAUUGCACGUCUAAGCAGUAAGGCUGAGUAUUAGGCAAAUCCGGUACUCGUUAAGGCUGAGCUGUGAUGGGGAGAAGACAUUGUGUCUUCGAGUCGUUGAUUUCACACUGCCGAGAAAAGCCUCUAGAUAGAAAAUAGG